rnacentral:rRNA from 1 species
CGGCUCAUCACAUCCUGGGGCUGUAGUAGGUCCCAAGGGUUGGGCUGUUCGCCCAUUAAAGUGGUACGCGAGCUGGGUUCAGAACGUCGUGAGACAGUUCGGUCCCUAUCCGUCGCAGGCGUAGGAAAUUUGAGAAGACCUGUCCUUAGUACGAGAGGACCGGGAUGGACGUACCUCUGGUGUACCAGUUGUCCUGCCAAGGGCAUGGCUGGGUAGCUAUGUACGGAAUGGAUAAGCGCUGAAAGCAUCUAAGCGCGAAGCCAACUUCAAGAUAAGAUUUCCCACCGCAAGGGUAAGACCCCAGAAAGACUAUCUGGUUGAUAGGUCGAAGGUGUAAGUGCAGCAAUGUAUUUAGCUUAUCGAUACUAAUAGGUCGAGGACUUGACCAAU